UGGGGAAUUUUGGACAAUGGGCGAAAGCCUGAUCCAGCCAUGCCGCGUGAGUGAAGAAGGCCUUCGGGUUGUAAAGCUCUUUUAGUCGGAAAGAAAGAGUUGCAAUGAAUAAUUGUGAUUUAUGACGGUACCGACAGAAAAAGCACCGGCUAACUACGUGCCAGCAGCCGCGGUAAUACGUAGGGUGCGUGCGUUAAUCGGAAUUACUGGGCGUAAAGGGUGCGCAGGCGGUCUUGCAAGUCAGAUGUGAAAGCCCCGGGCUUAACCUGGGAAUUGCGUUUGAAGCUACAAGACUAGAGUGCAGCAGAGGGGAGUGGAAUUCCAUGUGUAGCAGUGAAAUGCGUAGAGAUGUGGAAGAACACCGAUGGCGAAGGCAGCUCCCUGGGUUGACACUGACGCUCAUGCACGAAAGCGUGGGGAGCAAACA
rnacentral:rRNA from 1 species